rnacentral:tRNA from 1 species
GGGCGUGUAGCUCAGUUGGUAGAGCGUGUCAUUAGCAUGUCUACCCCUACUUGACAAGGUCUUUGGUUCGAUUCCUAACUCGUCCA